UGUGGUUUCACUGGAAUGGCAGACUUUGUAAAGUCAUGUCGGCACAAACUAACUUAAGACUCUUUCCGAACAGUACCUGCGUGGGUUUUCUCCGGGCACUCCGCUUUCCUCCCACAUCCCAAAAACAUGCAUGCAAAUGGCUGGCGACCGGUUCAGGGUGUAUCCCGUCUUUCGCCCACAGUCAGCUGGAAGAGGCUUCAGC